UACGGAGGAUUCGAGCGUUAUCCGGAUUUAUUGGGUUUAAAGGGUGCGUAGGCGGUUUGAUAAGUUAGAGGUGAAAUACCGGGGCUUAACUCCGGAACUGCCUCUAAUACUGUCAGGCUAGAGAGUAGUUGCGGUAGGCGGAAUGUGUGGUGUAGCGGUGAAAUGCUUAGAGAUCACACAGAACACCGAUUGCGAAAGCAGCAUACCGGCGCCCGACUGACGCUGAGGCACGAAAGUGCGGGUAUCGAACAGG
rnacentral:rRNA from 1 species